CAGUCGACGGAGCCGGGAGCAAUCCUGGUGGCGAGUGGCGAACGGGUGAGUAAUAUAUCGGAACGUGCCCAGUCGUGGGGGAUAACGUAGCGAAAGCUACGCUAAUACCGCAUACGAUCUAUGGAUGAAAGCGGGGGAUCGCAAGACCUCGCGCGAUUGGAGCGGCCGAUAUCAGAUUAGGUAGUUGGUGGGGUAAAAGCUCACCAAGCCUUCGAUCUGUAGCUGGUCUGAGAGGACGACCAGCCACACUGGAACUGAGACACGGUCCAGACUCCUACGGGAGGCAGCAGUGGGGAAUUUUGGACAAUGGGCGCAAGCCUGAUCCAGCAAUGCCGCGUGCAGGAUGAAGGCCUUCGGGUUGUAAACUGCUUUUGUACGGAACGAAACGGUCCUUUCUAAUACAAGGGGCUAAUGACGGUACCGUAAGAAUAAGCACCGGCUAACUACGUGCCAGCAGCCGCGGUAAUACGUAGGGUGCGAGCGUUAAUCGGAAUUACUGGGCGUAAAGCGUGCGCAGGCGGUUAUGUAAGACAGAUGUGAAAUCCCCGGGCUCAACCUGGGACCUGCAUUUGUGACUGCAUAGCUAGAGUACGGUAGAGGGGGAUGGAAUUCCGCGUGUAGCAGUGAAAUGCGUAGAUAUGCGGAGGAACACCGAUGGCGAAGGCAAUCCCCUGGACCUGUACUGACGCUCAUGCACGAAAGCG
rnacentral:rRNA from 1 species